GUGGGGAAUACUGGACAAUGGGCGAAAGCCUGAUCCAGCCAUGCCGCGUGUGUGAAGAAGGUCUUCGGAUUGUAAAGCACUUUAAGUUGGGAGGAAGGGCAGUAAGUUAAUACCUUGCUGUUUUGACGUUACCGACAGAAUAAGCACCGGCUAACUUCGUGCCAGCAGCCGCGGUAAUACGAAGGGUGCAAGCGUUAAUCGGAAUUACUGGGCGUAAAGCGCGCGUAGGUGGUUUUGUAAGUUGGAGGUGAAAUCCCCGGGCUCAACCUGGGAACUGCCUCCAAAACUGCAUGACUAGAGUACGGUAGAGGGUAGUGGAAUUUCCUGUGUAGCGGUGAAAUGCGUAGAUAUAGGAAGGAACACCAGUGGCGAAGGCGACUACCUGGACUGAUACUGACACUGAGGUGCGAAAGCGUGGGGAGCAAACAGGAUUAGAUACCCUAGUAGUCC
rnacentral:rRNA from 1 species